UGACGUGUUGUUCCUUUAGACUACUGUUUUGAUUUCAGUUUUGUGUUCUUUGGAUAAGAUCUUGAUUGUUUUUUACUGUUAUGUGCUGUAUCAUGUUGUAAGUGCUGCAAUAUACUGUUUUUGGUGGUGUUGUCGCCUGUUGUGACUACUUUUCUAUGAGGGAUGAAUGAUGUUGCCCUUCAUAUUAGUUCUUGCUGUGAAGUUUUUGACUGAUGAGAAAAUGCUCUGCUGAUGGAAGCUUUUGUACUGACCACCUUGUGAGAUUGAAAGAAUUUGGUUGCUGGUGUAUGGUCUUUGCUUUAUUGGGUUUUCUUCCUAGCGUUGGGUGAGCUACAAAACUAAUAUGCGUGUGGUGGUCUCGAAGUGUAGUUGUUGUUUUGAUUUUGGUCCAGUUUUAAACAAAGGUGGGCGAUCAUCGUUUGAAGCUCCGCAGCAGUGCCCGGGGAAGGUGUUCCCGUGUAAUUUGGCCGUGGUUCAUAUUGGAGGGUGUGAAGUGGUCGGUCGAAGUGCAGAGUGUGCUGUUUGUAGAUUGCCGUCGUGAAGGAACUGCUGAGUGGAUGAAGAACCUUUUGGAAUGCGCGUGCGGAGGAGCUUGAAGGUCCUCGCGUGAAGACCACGCGCGUCAGCUGGAAACCACCUUCCUUUGGAAGAUUCUAGAGAGGCGGGGAUGGCACUUGAAUGAAGCUUAGGAUUAGGGUUUCUGUUUCGGUUAAUGUUUCGGGCCUGCUGGAUAUGUGAAUAAUAGUUGGGCUUUUUUAUUGUGGCCGUGAAAUGCGUUUUUAUUUAUAGAUUAGGGGUGAUAUGUUAUGGAAAUGGGUAGACAGAUUUAACAAAGGGAUCAAUGAUAUGUGAAUGGGUCAUAUGGGUUUGACUUGUGCGUGGUUAAUGAUUUAUAUACUUGGGUCAAUUAUGAAUUUGGGUUACAUGAAA